UACAGAGGGGGCAAGCGUUGUUCGGAAUUACUGGGCGUAAAGGGCGCGUAGGCGGCCGCCUAAGUCAGACGUGAAAUCCCUCGGCUCAACCGGGGAACUGCGUCUGAGACUGGGAGGCUUGAAUCCGGGAGAGGAAUGCGGAAUUCCAGGUGUAGCGGUGAAAUGCGUAGAUAUCGGGAGGAACACCAGUGGCGAAGGCGACUACCUGGCCUGUUCUUGACGCUGAGGCGCGAAAGCUAGGGUAGCAAACGGG
rnacentral:rRNA from 1 species